rnacentral:rRNA from 2 species
ACGUAGGGGGCAAGCGUUAUCCGGAUUUACUGGGUGUAAAGGGAGCGUAGACGGAUGGACAAGUCUGAUGUGAAAGGCUGGGGCUCAACCCCGGGACUGCAUUGGAAACUGCCCGUCUUGAGUGCCGGAGAGGUAAGCGGAAUUCCUAGUGUAGCGGUGAAAUGCGUAGAUAUUAGGAGGAACACCAGUGGCGAAGGCGGCUUACUGGACGGUAACUGACGUUGAGGCUCGAAAGCGUGGGGAGCAAACAG